AUCAGACCCUGCCCCUCCACAGCCACUUUCCUCUUUCCUGCCUAAUUUCAUAUCACCCCCCAAAAUCUGCCACCUCAGUGCUUCCCCUUCUCCAUAGUUUUCAGGAACAUGAAAACCUAUUUGGAGGGCUCUGUUCUGGACGGCUGUAUUGUCCCAAGCCUCAAAGCAGAAAAGGACCAAACUUGCUCUGCUCCUGAUGCACCACUGUUAACAUUGCACAGGACACCCGAGGAAAGGGAGGAAGGUGCAGGAAGGACACAGCAUCCAUCCCAACCCCGGCCAGCACAAAGCCAGUGCCCCGGCAGGAUGUCACCGUGCAUUCAUUCUGGUCACACGACGGAUGCAGAAAUGCCAUGUUUCUCUCCGAGAGUAUUUCCUUCACAUUGAAUUAAAUUUCUGUCUCGUUUUAAAGCUCUGUGACCGGCAGUAGGCUCAGUGCUGGGACGGGCUGUGGGACCAGUGCUCCCAUCCACUUGUAGAAAUGCACAUAGAUCAGAAAGCGCGGAGAGCUUUUAAUAAUGUGUCCACAUCCAGCCUAUCUCAGUGGCUCUUUACACUUUCUGUUGUUCCAGGAAGAUAACACUUCACAGAAGCUAUAAAAGACACAUCAUAUCUCAGUGACACUUUGGGACAAUGCAGGAUAAAAUUCAAUUAAAUGCAAAAUCCAAAAGAAGUCUGACAGAGUUUCAGGUGCUUUUCAAUUCAUCACUUUUCAAUAUUUCUUGAAAUUCCCCAGAACCAAAUAUCCAGAGGUCAUUUCAAAAGCUUCCACAAAGAAUGUGCCAGGGGAGUUUUCAUCAGGGACCUUGACUUUCCUUAUGAUAGAAAACUCUCUCCACGAGUCUGAAACCUGGGACCAGAGGAAAUGAAUAAUUACAGCCGCCUGUACCUUCAUCACAUAUUGUGAUUUUGCUGGAGCUGAUAUUGAAUCUGAACCAAAGUUCAGGCUGGUGCCAGGCUGUUUAUUCCAUGUUUGCCCUUCUCAACAUCCCUGCUGGUUUGUGAUUAGAUGCCUCCCGUACCCGGGGAAAACCUCCGCACCAUGGGAUGCGAGAGCAGCCAAAGCUGCGUGGUUUCAGAAGGCACAGUGCAGUAACUUAAACUCUUUAAUUUCCUAUAUGCUGGUGAAAUCCAUUUAGGUUUUCCUUUGUAUCUGGAAUACAAUCCUAUACAGUGAGAAAAUCUGUGUGCUUUCCGCCAAGGAAAAGCCCCAAACUCAUGGCAAGCAGAUCUAAUCCCACAUCUUGCAUUUAAAUGCUUUUCGGGAAAGAGCUCCUUGUUUCGCAGGCUACUGGGGGGCUUGGAUGAUGUAUUGUGGUAUCAGUAAACUCCAUGCCACCAGCACAACGCCUGUUACUGGUACCUGAAAAAACUGUAUUGACUGCAGUAUUGAUUGUCUUCAAUAUUAAUUGCUAAAGUUCACUGAAGAUGCAGUUACAGUAAAGGAGGGAGAGUUACUAAAAUGUUUUAAGCCUGUGACUGCCAUGGAGAUUAAAUGCUGUGCGAGGGCAGAUCCAAGUCCCAGUUCUCCUGGCUUUUUAACGUGUAUGCUUGAUAUCAAAGAAGCACAAGGUUGGGUAAUACAUAUUUUUCUUUUCAAUAAAUAGUUCAGCCUUCCUAAUGGA